rnacentral:lncRNA from 1 species
GUUUAGGGCUUAAAACCCUAACGUUGGCUGAAUGGAAAAAAGUUCAGUAUAGGGUUUAAAACCCUAAUGCUGACUAAAAGGAAAAUUCAGUUUAGGGUUUAAAACCCUAAUGCUGAUUACAUGAAAAAGCUCAGUUUAGGGUUUAAAACCCUAAUGCUGGCUGAAAGGAAAAAAGUUCAGUUUAGGGUUUAAAACCCUAAAGCCGGCUAAAGGAAAAAUUCAGUUUAGGGUUUAAAAACCCUAAUGCUGAUUGCAUGGAAAAGCUCAGUUUGGGGUUUAAAACCCUAAUGCUGGCUGAAUGGGAAAAAGUUCAGUUUAGGGUUUAAAACCCUAAUGCUGACUAAAGGAAAAAUUCAGUUUAGGGUUUAAAACCCUAAUGCUGAUCGCAUGGAAAAUCUCAAUUUAGGGUUUAAAACCCUAAUGCUGGCUGAAUGUAAAAAAGUUCAGUUUAGGGUUUAAAACCCCAAUGCUGACUAAAGAAAAAAUUCAGUUUAGGGUUUAAAACCCUAAUGUUGAUCGCAUGGAAAAGCUCAGUUUAGGGUUUAAAACCCUAAUGCUGACUGGAAAGAAAAGCUCAGUUUGGGGUUUAAAACUCUAAUGCUGGCUAAAGGAAAAAUUCAGUUUAGGGUUUAAAACCCUAAUGCUGAUCGCAUGGAAAAGCUCAGUUUAGGGUUUAAAACCCUAAUGCUGGCUGAAUGGAAAAAAGUUCAGUUUAGGGUUUAAAACCCCAAUGCUGACUAAAGAAAAAAUUCAGUUUAGGGUUUAAAACCCUAAUGUUGAUCGCAUGGAAAAGCUCAGUUUAGGGUUUAAAACCCUAAUGCUGGCUGAAUGGAAAAAAGUUCAGUUUAGGGUUUAAAACCCUAAUGCUGACUGGAAGGAAAAGCUCAGUUUGGGGUUUAAAACCCUAAUGCUGGCUGAAUGGGAAAAAGUUCAGUUUAGGGUUUAAAACCCUAAUGCUGACUAAAGGAAAAAUUCAGUUUAGGGUUUAAAACCCUAAUGCUGAUCGCAUGGAAAAGCUCAGUUUAGGGUUUAAAACCCUAAUGCUGGCUGAAUGGAAAAAAGUUCAGUUUAGGGUUUAAAACCCUAAUGCUGAUUACAUGGAAAAUUCAGUUUAGGGCUUAAAACCCUAGUGCUGAUUACAUGGAAAAGCUCAGUUUAGGGUUUAAAACCCUAAUGCUGGCUGAUUGGAAAAAAGUUCAGUUAGGGUUUAAAACCCUAAUGCUGACUAAAGGAAAAAUUCAGUUUAGGGUUUAAAACCCUAAUGCUGAUUACAUGGAAAAGCUCAGUUUAGGGUUUAAAACCCUAAUGCUGGCUGAAAGGAAAAAAGUUCAGUUUAGGGUUUAAAACCCUAAAGCCGGCUAAAGGAAAAAUUCAGUUUAGGGGUUUAAAACCCUAAUGUUGAUUGCAUGGAAAAAAUUCAGUUUGGGGUUUAAAACCCUAAUGCUGGCUGAAUGGAAAAAUUCAGUUUAGGGUUUAAAACUCUAAUGCUGACUGAAAGGAAAAUUCAGUUUAGGGUUUAAAACCCUAAUGCCGACUGGAAGGAAAAGCUCAGUUUAGGGUUUAAAACCCUAAUGCUGGCUGAAUGGAAAAAGUUCAGUUUAGGGUUUAAAACCCUAAUGCUGACUAAAGGAAAAAUUCAGUUUAGGGUUUAAAACCCUAAUGCUGACUAAAGGGAAAAUUCAGUUUAGGGUUUAAAACCCUAAUGCUGAUUACAUGGAAAAGCUCAGUUUAGGGUUUAAAACCCUAAUGCUGGCUGAAAUGAAAAAAGUUCAGUUUAGGGCUUAAAACCCUAAUGCUGAUUACAUGGAAAAGCUCAGUUUAGGGUUUAAAACCCUAUUGCUGGCUGAAAUGAAAAAAGUUCAGUUUAGGGUUUAAAACCCUAAUGCCGGCUAAAGGAAAAAUUCAGUUUAGGGUUUAAAACCCUAAUGCUGAUUGCAUGGAAAAGCUCAGUUUGGGGUUUAAAACCCUAAUGCUGGCUGAAUGGAAAAAAGUUCAGUUUAGGGUUUAAAACCCUAAUGCUGACUAAAGGAAAAAUUCAGUUUAGGAUUUAAAACCCUAAUGUUGAUCGCAUGGAAAAGCUCAGUUUAGGGGUUAAAACCCUAAUGCUGGCUGAAUGGAAAAAAGUUCAGUUUGGGGUUUAAAACCCUAAUGCUAACUGGAAGGAAAAGCUCAGUUUGGGGUUUAAAACCCUAAUGCUGGCUGAAUGGGAAAAAGUUCAGUUUAGGGUUUAAAACUCUAAUGCUGACUAAAGGAAAAAUUCAGUUUAGGGUUUAAAACCCUAAUGCUGAUCGCAUGAAAAAGCUCAGUUUAGGGUUUAAAACCCUAAUGCUGGCUGAAUGGAAAAAAGUUCAGUUUAGGGUUUAAAACCCUAAUGCUGACUAAAGGAAAAAUUCAGUUUAGGGUUUAAAACCCUAAUGCUGAUCGCAUGGAAAAGCUCAAUUUAGGGUUUAAAACCCUAAUGCUGGCUGAAUGGAAAAAAGUUCAGUUUAGGGUUUAAAACCCUAAUGCUGACUGGAAGGAAAAGCUCAGUUUGGGGUUUAAAACCCUAAUGCUGGCUAAAGGAAAAAUUCAGUUUAGGGUUUAAAACCCUAAUGCUGAUCGCAUGGAAAAGCUCAGUUUAGGGUUUAAAACCCUAAUGCUGGCUGAAUGGAAAAAAGUUUAGUUUAGGGUUUAAAACCCUAAUGCUGAAUGGAAGGAAAAGCUCAGUUUGGAGUUUUAAACCCUAAUGCUGGCUGUAUGGGAAAAAGUUCAGUUUAGGGUUUAAAACCCAAAUGCUGAUUGCACGGAAAAGCUCAGUUUGGGGUUUAAAACCCUAAUGCUGGCUGAAUGGAAAAAUGUUCAGUUUAGGG